GCACUUAUUACUAAUUCUCAUUUAUCCAUCAUUGUUAUUACUAAUUUCGCCUUCUUGACAUAUUGUGGUGGAUGUACCAUCACCACACAAAGCCACCACUUGACGACAACUCCCCUUAGACGUCACGCCCGACAAAUGGUGUUGGCAUUCACGUGCCGGUCUCUCGACUUUGGUGGGACUGGGGAUAUCACUUCCAAUCUGGUCUCGAAACGUCACAAUAAGAGACCGUCCACAGGAUCCAACAAUAAAGACAAAAAUGGCUGCCCACAGGAACUUCCAAUUCAUCCUUGAAACGCGUCCUUAUUUUUCCAUACGCGCCUAUCUGUCGAAUUAAACAGGCCUCAAGUGGACACAACUUUCACCAAUGAAAUUGUGUGGGCAUAACUAAAGCUCCCACGGACAUUCAUCAUUCACAAAGGCAUACCACCAAACCAAUCUGUCAAAUUUAUGUGUAUAACUGGAGCUCCCGCAAACAUUCACCAUUCAUCAAGAUGACCCACCUACUUGGCCCAAAAAAGAUUAAAACACAACUAAACCAGACAAAUUAAAAGGAUAUGGAAUCAAUCUAUUUUAGGCACUGAAAUCCAUCAAAACAAACUUAUCAAUUUGGACACAUAAUCCACAUCACGCCUACAAAUGUGCAAGCCACAAAAGUCCAAAAGUCUUGCAAAAGACAAAAAUAUAUGUUUUCCAAUUUCCAGAACUUGAUUGCCUGCAGCAAUCAACUUCAACAAUUUAUCAUGCAAGUUUAAGCAUCACAUGCUCAUUCAAGCUUCCUGACUCAGAAUGGAGUCGCCAGACUCACCUGGUAAACAAAUUUAAAACAAGUCAAAACUACUAAUAAGUCCAGCAAUCAGAAAAUCAAGGAGAUACCAUCUACAAAUUCUAGGCUCUAAAACUAACAAUGAAAACAGACACAUAAGCAUAUAAGGAGAAAUCAUUAUGCACUAGAGUGAGACCGGGAUAAGCUCUUGCUCCUGCUUCUGCUUCUGCUUCUGCUACCACUUGGGCUCCGGCUGACACUCCGUUUUUUUGGACUCUUACUCACGCGUUUCUGUCGCUGCAGAUAACAAUAUCAACAAAAAUAUCAUAUAUAGCAUAGAAAAUAGGCCACCCCCAGUGUCUAAAACCAUAGACAUCCCAUUGAAUGCAGAGGAGAAUGAGUCUACUACUCUAUUCACAUAAUCCAUCCAGGACGUGCUUGAAUGUAUUAGAAUAAGUAGAGUUAUACAUUAUCAAGUGAAGCAAAAGGAAUAUUCUCCCUAAUUCUAAAUUGGAUUCAAAAGCUAACUCCAUUCAAGUAUAAUCAAAUCCCUAAUUCAAUUUCACUUUCCAGGCCUUAAUUUUUUUUUUUUUUCUUUUAACCCAACUCCAUUGUCAGGCCAGCUUUGUCAUAACAAGAAUAUGCUAGGUUGCAACAGAUAAUAGAGUCCAUGACAAUUGAAAAUUUUAUAUAAACCUACGUCAGCAAUGACUUACAGAUGGAAGUGGAGACCUUGAUCUUGAAUGUGAUCUGCAAAAGUUCCAGAAACAACCCAAAUUUAAAAUCCACACGUUCCUUUUAAGAACUCUCAUCGAAGAGCCUUCAUGCCACUUCCACGUCAGAGUUACCAAAUUCAAAAGGCAUAAAAGGAAGAGCCAUAAAUCUUUUAGCAAUUCAAGAAAAAAAAAAUCAGGCCAAUUCAUAAAAUUCCCACCAAAACAAAAUACCUAACAAAAUGGAGAAAAAAAAAUCUCAACUAAAGAAUUAUAAUAGGUUUCCAAGACACAGUUGCACAGAAAAGAAGCAUGCUUCCCUACUGUACCACAAAAUCCAUAGUGAGUCCAGCUAGCAGGUCCUAUUAGCUUGGCAACUGUUGGAGUAGAAAAUGAUAAUGAAAUAGUUUCUACCACUCAUUGCUGGUGACUUCCAGAUCCACUUGCAGUUAGUUCACUGCAAUCCAGCUUUACUAAUGCAAUCCAUAUUCCAUAAUCUCCAUUGUCCCCAAGCUCAACAACCCAAAAAAGAUGCAGGAACUGAACAUAUCCCAUCAAGAUCCUAUUAUCCAAUCCCCAGUUCGCUCGACAAAGAAUGGGGCUUUGAUCCAGAGCGGGAACGAGAAGCAGAUCUUGAUCUUGAUCUUGACCUAAUAGGCGAGCCGCGUGAAGAUUUGGUUUUAGGAGAUUUACUCCGGCUCCUGCUCCGGCUAGAACUUCGGCCACAACUGCGGCUGUCACUACAGCCUCUUGAAUGAGAUCGGCCACGACCGGGGCUCCUAGAGAUGUCACGCUUGGAAUCAUAUUCUCUCACCUAAAAGCCAAAUGAUUAUCAAAAAAUGCAAAAAAUAUACACACACAGAGUCACGUGCCAGUGUGAUAAUGUUUAUUUGUGUGAGAUAAAGACAGAGAGGUGGGAAGAGAGAUUCCAAUCAUACACGGACAUAUGCCCGAGAAAACGCAUUUCGAAACUCAGAGUCAUCAAGUUUCUUGAUUGCUGACUUCAUGUCUUCGUAGUUUGUGUAAUCCACAAUCCCUGUGGUACCUAAAGCCAACAAUAAUAUGACAACAAACGAAAUGUUAAUCCACAUAUUAUCCACUGUAAUUAAUAAAUUAAAAGAAAUCAAUAUAAUUGCAUCAAAAAGUUAUAAAGCACAGGACCAUCAGCCAUGAGGACCCAAUAACAAGUGGCAUUAUUUCAAAGGCCUUAAUUCUCAACUUGUCAUGUCCAUGAGAUCAAAAAGUGAAAACAAUAUGAGUUAAAAAUAUAUGUAAUAAUAGUAACAUUACGCAUAGGCUCAUCUCUCUAAGAACUGUCCAAGCAAACAAGGAUAAGAAUAUCACACACGCACACACCCAAAAAAGAAUCCUGGCUCUAGAUAAAAAGUCCGAAAGACAUAAGGCUAAGUAUCUUACCACUACCAUCACGGAACACUUGAGAGAAACAGACAUCACCUGCACGUCGCAUGUGAUCCUGAAGAGGAAUAAGUUUAGACAUUGAUUAACUUCAAACAAAACUUUAAGAAUGAUGGGUCAAUAUGCAUGCAUCAGCUAGUACACAAACCUACACACAAAAUAAAAGGUAAGGAAAAGAUCACACAAGUAAAAAAAAUGGCAACUGUUUGAUAGGGAAGUAAAAACAAAAAGAUCUCAAGCCACCUUAAGGUCUUGCCAUGAAGCAGAUGAGGGCAACCCAGUGAUCAAAACUGCAUGAUAGAUAAUUUCAAGCAAGGACAUAUGAUAUAUAUACCAAUUUAUGCCUCCUUGUAAAUUAAACGUUGAAUGGCACAAAAAGCAUCACAUUUAGUACAUACCACGAUACUCAGAGCGCCUGGACACUCCUCUUCCACGACCACCACUGUAACUACUGUGGCGAUCUGAGGAAGAAUGUCCACGCCCACCAUGUGCAAGCUCCACCCGUAAACGAUGCCCAUCAAAAUCAUAGCCAUCACGACCACGGAUUGCAUCUUCUGCAUCUCGAGCCUCUUCAAACUCAACAAAUGCAUAACCCGGGGGCCUUGGUGGGAUCUUGAGAUCAAUGUGUGCUAUGGAUCCAUACUUGUAGAAUAAAUCCUCCACUUCUCUCUCACGAAUGUCGCCAGGCAGCUUUCCAACAUAAAGAGUCCUGCUUGCUCGGCUACUCAUUUCCCCUUUAUGAAAUAGAUGCUCGGUCAGAGCCCAGAGGUCGAAGGUUAGGGUUUUAAGAUUUGGCGAGAGUAUGGCUAUUGGUUAGGGAAUACAGUAUGGUAAAGUUGGGAAAAAAAAAAAAGGAAUGCGCUCUCUUAAAAUCUACGGAACUCUUAAGCUUGUCUUUUUUUAUUUUUUUCGAAACUCUUAAGCUUGUUUGCUAAUUGAUCUAGAUGAUCAUUGAGUUAGUAGUGGGAGCACCCGUAAG
rnacentral:misc_RNA from 1 species